GAUGAACGCUGGCGGCGUGCCUAAUACAUGCAAGUCGAGCGACCGCACGAGGAGCUUGCUUCCCUGCUGUUAGCGGCGGACGGGUGAGUAACACGUGGAUAACCUACCUAUAAGACUGAGAUAACUCCGGGAAACGGGAGCUAGUACCCGAAAUAAUUUUGAACCACAUGGUUCAUCAGCGAAAGACGCUCUUGCUGUCACAUAUAGAUGGAGCCGCGGUGCAUUAGCUAGUUGGUAAGGUACCGGAUUACCAAGGCAACGAUGAAUAGCCGACCUGAGAGGGUGGACGCCCAGACGGGAACUGAGACUGGGUCCAGACUCUGACGGGGGGCAGCAGUAGAGAAUCUUCCGCGAUGGGGGAAUGCCUGAUGGAGCAACGCCGCGGGAGUGAUGAUGGUGUUCCGCUGGUAAAACUCUGUUAUUAGGCGAGAUGAUAUGUGUAAGUAACUGUGCGCAUCUUGACGGUACCUAAUCAGAAAGCCACGGCUAACUACGUG
rnacentral:rRNA from 1 species